CCAAUCCUGAUGUGUGCGUUUAUCUUACCAUAUCGUUUUGACCGAACAUUUAAGUUACGGGAGCUUGCGUUUUCGAACAGAGUACACGCCUUUAGUAUAAAGGACUUACAAAAUUCGAAACAGGGCACCCACCUGCCAAGUAGCGGGUUCAAAACUUUGGAUUUCUGACGGCACUAUUGGGAUUGGU
rnacentral:other from 1 species